UNUGACUUAAGUGCAGAAGGGGAGAGUGGAAUUCCAUGUGUAGCGGUGAAAUGCGUAGAUAUAUGGAGGAACACCAGUGGCGAAAGCGGCUCUCUGNUCUGUCGCUGACGCUGAGGCUCGAAAGCGUGGGUAGCGAACAGGAUUAGAUACCCUGGUAGUCCACGCCGUAAACGAUGAGUGCUAGGUGUUAGGCCCUUUCCGGGGCUUAGUGCCGGAGCUAACGCAAUAAGCACUCCGCCUGGGGAGUACGACCGCAAGGUUGAAACUCAAAGGAAUUGACGGGGGCCCGCACAAGCGGUGGAGCAUGUGGUUUAAUUCGAAGCAACGCGAAGAACCUUACCAGGUCUUGACAUCCCGAUGCUAUUCUUAGAGAUAGGAAGUUACUUCGGUACAUCGGAGACAGGUGGUGCAUGGUUGUCGUCAGCUCGUGUCGUGAGAUGUUGGGUUAAGUCCCGCAACGAGCGCAACCCUUAUUGUUAGUUGCCAUCAUUAAGUUGGGCACUCUAGCGAGACUGCCGGUAAUAAACCGGAGGAAGGUGGGGAUGACGUCAAAUCAUCAUGCCCCUUAUGACCUGGGCUACACACGUGCUACAAUGGUCGGUACAACGAGUUGCGAGCCGGUGACGGCAAGCUAAUCUCUGAAAGCCGAUCUCAGUUCGGAUUGGAGGCUGCAACUCGCCUCCAUGAAGUCGGAAUCGCUAGUAAUCGCGGAUCAGCACGCCGCGGUGAAUACGUUCCCGGGCCUUGUACACACCGCCCGUCACACCACGAGAGUUUGUAACACCCGAAGUCGGUGAGGUANCCUUUUAGGG
rnacentral:rRNA from 1 species